UACAGAGGGGGCAAGCGUUGUUCGGAAUUACUGGGCGUAAAGGGCGCGUAGGCGGCCUGCUAAGUCGAACGUGAAAUCCCUGGGCUCAACCCAGGAACUGCGUCCGAUACUGGUUGGCUUGAAUCCGGGAGAGGGACGUGGAAUUCCAGGUGUAGCGGUGAAAUUCGUAGAUAUUCGGAAGAACACCAGUGGCGAAGGCGGCUCACUGGCCCGGUACUGACGCUGAGGUGGCGAAAGCGUGGGGAGCAAACGGG
rnacentral:rRNA from 1 species